GCUGGGAUAGCUCAGUCAGUAGAGCAUGAGGCUCUUAAUCGCAGGGUUGUGGGUUUGAGCCCCAUAUUGGGCA
rnacentral:tRNA from 1 species